UGUCUUACUGGAUGAUAAAUAAAGUACUGUUUGGCCAAUGAGGCAGCAAGUUAGGUGGGACUAGGAGUCAAGGAGGAUUCUGGGAAAUGUAGUAAAGAAGUGGUGAUCCAGGCAGGAAGUGACAUAGCAGGGAGACUCAUAAACAAGGGCAAGAAGGAAGUGGGCCCCUUCUCUCUUCCUCCUGGUCUCUGCUCUGGAGUCGCCAUGUGAUCCACCAGAAAGAGAGGGCACCAGCAGAAGGCAUCCUCUAUAAGAUAAAUCUUAUAAAAUAUAUAUAUUUAUGAUAAUUAAGACUGAGCCAGCAGAUGAGAAAUCCUAGCUAUUGGGCAAGCAGCAUUUGUACCAAAUAUAAGUCUCUGUAUAUUAUUUUGGGCCCUAACUAGGCGGGCAGAACUUGGGUGGCUGGUGGAAAGCGCCCACAUGGCAGUAGGGCUCAGGUGGCUUUUGGCAAAAAGAUUUAUCAUAACACAAGAUGAGAGUAGUGGCAAGCUAGUUAAACCCUCAUGUAUGCAAACAGUGUGCUGAAAACUAAACGUCAAAUGUGUCCACUUAUGCAAACAGUUAUUUCUAAUUAUAUAUGUGUGUACCUCUUCUGGACAUAGUGAAAUGGCAGCGACACUCGGGAAAAUGUUUCAGAAUCCAGGGAAUCAGUUAUUAGGAACUUUCAGAUAUAGGCAACAAGAAACUUAACUCAAAUUACUUUUAAAAAUUCAUUGUCUAGAAAGACUGCAAAAGAUACUUCUGAGAUUUUAGAAUUGAGUGAAGGAAGAGAGUAAAGAGAAGUAGAGAGGGAAGGGAGUGAAUACAAAAGGACAGGAGGAGGAGAGGGGGAGUGUGUGGAGAGAGAGGGAGGAAGUAAGUAGAGGGCAGAGGAAAGGGUCCCUGAAGGGAGAAGAGAGAGUGAAGAAGCAGGGCAGCACAGGCAAGAGCGGCAUAGAUGUGGGGUCUGCAAGCUUAGAGGCUCUGGAUGAAGGAUUCUCCCUUCAUCUUCUUCUGUCUCAUCCAGAUUCUCCCUUGUCUAGGACAUGGGGUAUCCUGUGCUUCCGGGGUGCUACAGAAAGGACUUCACCUAGUAGAGACAUAUGCCCACUGAUGGAUAAUCCAGGUUGCCUGUGGAUGAAGUGCAAUGCUCUGCCAUGUCCUUCAGCAUGAGGAAUGGAAAAAAGUCUCAAUUUCUGCAGAGUAUACAUUGGACAGGAUGUGAACUUGAAAUCAUCUAAAAGACAAACCUCUGGGUGUGUCAGUGAUGGUACUUGAAGAUCGGUUUAACUGAAGGGCGAACACCCCUACUAAAUGUAUUGGUGUCUAGCCCAAUGACCAUCAGAGAGGCUUUAUCCAGCAACUUACAGAAACAGAUGCAGACCCACAGCCAAACAUUAGGCAAAGCUUGAGGAAUCCUGCAGAAGAGGGGAG
rnacentral:lncRNA from 1 species